rnacentral:rRNA from 1 species
GAUCAUGGCUCAGAUUGAACGCUGGCGGCAGGCUUAACACACGCAAGUCGAACGGUAACAUAAAGAAGCUUGCUUCUUUGAUGACGAGUGGCGGACGGGUGAGUAAUGCUUGGGAAUCUAGCUUAUGGAGGGGGAUAACUACGGGAAACUGUAGCUAAUACCGCGUAAUAUCGGAAGAUUAAAGUGUGGGACCUUCGGGCCACAUGCCAUAGGAUGAGCCCAAGUGGGAUUAGGUAGUUGGUGAGG